rnacentral:rRNA from 1 species
CCGUAGGUGAACCUGCGGAGGCUCAUUA